rnacentral:rRNA from 1 species
CGACCUCAGAUCAGACGAGACGACCCGCUGAAUUUAAGCAUAUUACUAAGCGGAGGAAAAGAAACUAACCAGGAUUCCCUCAGUAGCUGCGAGCGAAGAGGGGAGAGCCCAGCGCCGAAUCCCCCGUCCCCUCGUGGGCGCGGGGAAAUGUGGCGUACGGAAGUCCGCAUCGCCCGGCGCGGGCCGGGGGCCUGAGUCCUUCUGAUGGAGGCUCAGCCCGUGGACGGUGUGAGGCCGGUAACGGCCCCCGCCCCGCCGGGGCGCGGACUUCUCAGAGUCGGGUUGUUUGGGAAUGCAGCCCAAAGAGGGUGGUAAACUCCAUCUAAGGCUAAAUA